rnacentral:rRNA from 1 species
ACGUAGGGAGCGGGCGUUGUCCGGAUUUAUUGGGCGUAAAGAGCUCGUAGGCGGUUUGGUAAGUCGGGUGUGAAAGCUCCGGGCUCAACUCGGAGAGGUCACUCGAUACUGCCAUGACUUGAGUCCGGUAGGGGGGUGUGGAAUUCCCAGUGUAGCGGUGAAAUGCGCAGAUAUUGGGAGGAACACCAAUGGCGAAGGCAGCACCCUGGGCCGGUACUGACGCUGAGGAGCGAAAGCGUGGGGAGCAAACAGGA